rnacentral:rRNA from 1 species
UACGAAGGGGGCUAGCGUUGCUCGGAAUUACUGGGCGUAAAGGGCGCGUAGGCGGUUGUUUAAGUCAGCGGUGAAAGCCCAGGGCUCAACCUUGGAACUGCCAUUGAUACUGGACAUCUUGAGUACGGGAGAGGUGAGUGGAACACCGAGUGUAGAGGUGAAAUUCGUAGAUAUCCGGAGGAACACCGGUGGCGAAGGCGGCUUCCUGGACCGACACUGACGCUGAGGCGCGAAAGCUAGGGGAGCAAACGGG